rnacentral:rRNA from 1 species
CCUACGGGGGGCUGCAGUAGGGAAUCUUCGGCAAUGGACGAAAGUCUGACCGAGCAACGCCGCGUGAGUGAAGAAGGUUUUCGGAUCGUAAAACUCUGUUGUUAGAGAAGAACAAGGACGUUAGUAACUGAACGUCCCCUGACGGUAUCUAACCAGAAAGCCACGGCUAACUACGUGCCAGCAGCCGCGGUAAUACGUAGGUGGCAAGCGUU